GGGAGGUCUGCACCUAAGAUUUCUGACUACAAUAGCAACAGUGUUCACAAUGUACUACGUCUUUAACCUUCAGUAUCCAGAGGAGGCAUGUGGCACAUUGGAAUUCAUUCAAAGACGAUUCAUCUGGAUAAACCCUGAAAAAGGCACGAAGCCAGGCAGAGGCAAGGUUGAUUUGAAGAAUACUGGAAAGACUGUGAAUAACAAGUCUGCUACUGUCAUCCCCAAAGUUGUGUCCCUCCUAAAGAACCUCAUCGAUUUCAAAUGGGAUUUUGUCUAGACCCGAAUGUCCUCUCAGGCCAGAGCCAUCAGAAGCUGGAGUGAGAUGUUUUUGCCUCUUCAUAAGGUUUUUUUAAGCUAUUGGUUUGGUUAA